ACUAGAAAGGCGACAAGAGGGACGGAAAACAACACGUAUGGAAAUGUGGAUAAGCAGAAGCAAGAACUUUACUAAGUUGUGAACGGAUAUGUAGAUUUCACAACUUAGUAAAGUUCUUGCUUCUGCUUAUCCAUAUUUCCAUACGUGUUGUUUUCCGUCCCUCUUGUCGCCUUUCUAGUU